GCUGGUGCCCAUGUGAAACGAGUCUCAUCCGGUAAAGCGAAUGAUUAGAGGCCUUGGGGCCGAAACGACCUCAACCUAUUCUCAAACUUUAAAUAGAUGAGAACUCCGGCUUGCUUAACGGUGAAGCCGAGAUUCGGAUCAGGGUGCCCAGUGGGCCAAUUUUGGUAAGCAGAACUGGCGCUGUGG
rnacentral:rRNA from 1 species